GACGAACGCUGGCGGCGUGCCUAACACAUGCAAGUCGAGCGGAAAGUUCCUUCUGUUUUGUUGUGCUCGAGUGGCGAGCGCGUGAGUAACACGUGAGUAACCUUCCCCUGACUGUUAGAUAUCUGCAAGAAAGUUUGGCUAAUACCGAUUAGUAACUCCUGCUCCGUUGUUGUGGUUAGAAAGGGUCGGUGGUGGUGGAUGGACUCGAGGUUAAUCAGCUGGUUGGGUGGGGAGUCGCUUACCAGGGGUUAUACGGGUAGCCUGCCUGAGAGGGUGACCGGCAACCUGGCGACUGAGCUACGGCCCAGACUAGUAAGGGAGGCAGGAGUGGGGAAUAUUGCACAAUGGGGCGAAGCCUGAUGCAGCAAUGCCGCGUGCGGGAUGACGGACUUCGGGUUGUAAACGAUUUUCGCAUGUACCGAAGAGUGAGUGACGGUAAUGGGUAAAGAAGCACCGGCUAACUACGUG
rnacentral:rRNA from 1 species